GAAAAAUCAAGUUACGAAUACGUAGCUACUGAUGAUUCCAACUUUAACAAUGGAGUUCAAUUGUGGUCUCAACAAUCUUGUGGAUUUGGGUUCGAGACGAAAAUGAUGAAAAAGGGUGUAUUGAGAAGUUCAAGAAGUUCAUCUUCUUCAUCUAUAUCUUCAGCAUCUUCAACUUGUAGCUCUGUAAUGGAAUGGGCUAGUACUGAAGAAAAUGAAUUGAAAGGUCCUUCUGGAUUUUCUUUGUUAGUUUAUGCUUGGAAAAACUGAGGAUUGGUAUUCUACUAACUUUUAUAUUUUUCUUUGAAGUCGGGUUCGAGACGAAGAUGAUGAAAAAGGGUGUAUUAAGAAGCUCGAGAAGUUCAUCUUCUUCAUCUUUAUCUUCAGCAUCUUCAACUUGUAGCUCUGUAAUGGAAUGGGCUAGCACUGAAGAAAAUGAAUUGAAAGGUCCUUCUGGAUUUUCUUUGUUGGUUUAUGCUUGGAAAAACUGAGGAUUGGUAUUCUACUAACUUUUAUAUUUUUCUUUGAAGUUA
rnacentral:lncRNA from 1 species